GACGAACGCUGGCGGCGUGCUUAACACAUGCAAGUCGAGCGGUAAGGCCCUUUCGGGGGUACACGAGCGGCGAACGGGUGAGUAACACGUGGGUGACCUGCCCUUAGCUCUGGGAUAAGCCUGGGAAACUGGGUCUAAUACCGGAUAUGACUCCAUGACGCAUGUUGUGGGGUGGAAAGCCUUGUGCGGCUAGGGAUGGGCCCGCGGCCUAUCAGCUUGUUGGUGGGGUGAUGGCCUACCAAGGCGACGACGGGUAGCCGGCCUGAGAGGGCGACCGGCCACACUGGGACUGAGACACGGCCCAGACUCCUACGGGAGGCAGCAGUGGGGAAUCUUGCGCAAUGGCGAAAGCCUGACGCAGCGACGCCGCGUGAGGGAUGACGGCC
rnacentral:rRNA from 1 species